rnacentral:misc_RNA from 1 species
AACAUACAACACAGAAAACGGCUUCUUUCCUAGGCGAGGAUAGAUCUUUUCCUCCAAGUAACUCUUAAGCACAUCCACACUCAGAAGUCGCGCUAAUAUUAACCGCCCCAAAAAAAAUCAUAAUCAAAAUUAGAAACAAGCAUUCAAUUGCAUGCAAAAGAAAAGCUAAAAAAGAGACAGAGAUGGUACCAGGGAAGAAUUUGCCUAUAAUGCGAAGGACCUUGCGGCCAUGUUUGUCUCGUCCAUGGAUCUUGAAGAUCCCGAGCUUCUCAAUGAGUUGUUCUUGGUCGAGCUGCGAAACGUGAGUGCACAUGUUGUUCGUUUUUCUUCAAUUUGGCUAAAGUUUGGGCUAAGGAAGCAAAAACGGCAAAGUG